AUAACCCAGCUACAAAACCAGAGAGAUGACUCGAGGCAGUCAUUAACUAUAGGAUCUGGCUUAGGACACCUCCUCCAUAGAAUCUCUCUCUCGCUCUCUGUCUGUCUCUCUUGCUCUCGUUCUCUCGCUUUGUCUCUCUGUCUCUCUGUGUGUGUCUCUCUUUUCCCCUCCCUUUUUAAAAAUCUAUGUUGCCUUUCUGAUCCUUUUUGCCUCUGCUCCAUGCAUUUAAGAUCUAUCCCUGAGGAAGGAGUUAAGGAGACUGGUAUUAUAAUGGUCCAUGUUUUAUUUUGCAGAAGUCCAGCAUGCUGGAAUCUCCCAAGAUCCCAGACCCCUAAGUGAGCUCACACCUUAGGAGAAUUCACCGUAGGUGUGCUUUGUCUUACUCUGCCUCUAGGCAUUCCAGGCCCAUUACCUGGGUCCAGGACGCUGGAAACUGUUGCUGGGGAAUCCUGAGAGGAAGAAAAGAGACAGCAAGGCAGAAGGAGGACAUGUUGGGAGAGUAAAAGGAGAGAGCUUGGGGUAGAUAUGAUCAAGAUACACUGUAUAUGUAUGAAAUUGUCAAAUAAGGGCAGGGACUGCCAUUCAGUGGUAGAUCGUUUUGUCUUGCAUCCAUGAAGACCUAGGUUUGAUCCCUAGUACUUCCAAAAUCUAAGACAUUCUAUAUGGUGUCAUUAUACCUGUUGAGUGGGUAAAAUGGCUUAGCAGAUAAAGGCCUUGCUGCCAGGUCUGACAUAUCAGUUCUAUCCCCAAACCCACAUGGUAGAAGGAGAAAAAUCAACUCCUACCUGCAGACUAGUGUGUGCUCAGAGUCUAACCUAGGUCCUCUAGAAGGCCAGAGCUCUUAACUGGAGCCAUUUCUCCAGGCUCAAACAAGAUUAACAGGAAAGAGUUUACCUUUCAAAAAGACAUUCAGGCCAGGAAUUGACAGUGUCAUAGAAAGUCUGUCCACUGUCUGCUGCAGCUUCGGACCUCAGCCAUUCUCCUACAGAGUUCUUUAGCAUGAACAUAAGUUCUGCAGCACACUCCCCUGCCUUCUUCAAGGUCACCUCUACCCAGCCAUGAAGGGCAAGACUGGAGUUCUCUCUGUGGAGAUUUACUGUGUUGGCCGGAAGUUACUUCCAGUGCCCUCAGUUUAUCAAAGGAGGGAAGAGGCAUCUGCAGGCCUGGGGGCAAGAACAGACACCAGUGAUGGGUGUUUUGUCACCUACAGGGCAGACGGAGACAGUUUGCCCUCUCAGUACAGCUCGCCCUGUUCCAAGCUCACCUCCUCCUGGAGAUGAUGGCACUUUUUAAAGUAGGUCCAUCUGUAAUGUGCCCGGUGCUGCUCAUUACGUUACUUAAUAAAUGGUGCAUAAGAUAUCAUGAAUGGUUUUACAGAGAGACCUAACACAGGCCUUACUCCUUUGCAAUAUAGCUCGGUUCCCCAGGCAUUAGCUAUCACCCCUUAGCUUGCCUCCACACUCAGAGAGCCACAAACACAAAUACACGUGGCUGAGGCAGGUGCUCCCUUAGCAGGAGCCAGAGCGAACAGCACAGCUCCUGAAACACCACCGAGUCGGUAUGAUUCUGAGAUUGGAACUUGGCGCCCUUCAAAUUAUUCGUGUUAUGGAAUCAUUCUGUUUCCCCAGGCAACAUAAUCAACCACGAAACCACUUUGGAAACUUUUGAUUAAGAAAGAAGAAAAGAGCAUACAGUAGCCCUGGAAAGCCUCUCAAGCAACACAAGAGAAGUCUUAGCUCAGAGGCCUCCCUUCGGUCAGAAGGAGAAAAUGCUGUCCUUUAGCCCUAGCCUGAUUUAGGUUUAGAAAUUCUAUAGUGUGGUCUGUUUAUGGAAAUCUAUCUCGGAGGUGUGUGUGUGUGUGUGUGUGUGCAUGUAUGUACAUGCAGCCAUGUUUAUUUCUCCCAGAAAGCUUUUGAAUUCUUAGUUUCAAAGGUAUGUCCAUGAUGUCUAAGCCUUGGGUUAAAGAACUAUUCAUAUCCUCCAGAUUUCCUUAUCCUCGUCCACAGUGUCCGCAACUUUCCCAGGAUCCUUACCUUACAGUAUGAUGUGAUAUUUUGUGUUCUGCAUUUUUAUUGUUUUGGUUUGUUUUUCUCAAGACAGGGUUUCUCCACACAGCCCUGGCUGUUUGGGAACUUAGAUAUUCCCCCGCCACUGCCUCUUCAUCUGCUGGGAUUAACGUGGGAACUGCCCCGCUCACCUUGUGUCCUGCGUUUUAAGUGAUGUGCUUCUCUCUUCAGGAUUCUGUUUUGGGGGUGUCAGCAGCUAUACUGUGACCAGAAUCUGGGAGCACUUAGAUGCUGGGUGGUCCUGGCUCGGGCCUUUGUCUAAAGACUUGACAAGCACUGACUGUUGGACUUCCUCUCUGUGACUAGCCAACUGCCUGAAGACUCUCCUGUGCUCUCUUCCUGGGCUGGUUGAACUUCCUCUAAGGAGUGUGGGUGGCUCCCCUCAGUCUGACCCAGCAGCCAGAGAGCUAGAGGGAGUUACAAUGCCUUUUGUGUGCUAAGCACAGUUCUUCAUUUCUACCAUCUUCUACUCAUUAGAAGACCCCUACAUCCAAUCAACAUCCAAGACGAUGGGAAUUCCCCACUGACUUUUGGAGGCUCUGCCUGGGAGGAAGCCAAGCUAAGAUCCAGGUAAAAGAACAGAAUCCUGUCAGGUGUGAAGGAAACUCCAUUUCCUCACACUCCAAAAGGCAGAAGGGGCAAAUGGCUACCUGUGGAACCUAUUAGCAUAUGGUGGCACUUUCUGGCCUCCAGGCUCCUUCAGUAUCACAAGUACCUGUUCGACAUUUCAGAGUCCCCGCUAGCAUCCUAGCCCUCACCUCCUCCCUGCCCUAAACUCCAGCUCACAGGCUCUCCUUCCCACAGCUGCCCAUGCGGCUCAUUAUAACCCUGUAUUUUGACUGUAGGCCAUCUUUUUGUCUUCCUUGCCCCCUCUCUUCCUCUCUCCUCUGUCAUCACCCUCUGCCACCAGGUAGGGCACAUUUCCACUGGGGCUAUGAAUUGUAUAUUUUUCUAUGCAGCACACACCCGUUGAAAGUUCCCUCUGGACACCCCUCAUUCUUUGUCUCCCUGUCUCUCUGUCUAUCUGUCUGAAUCUCUCUCCCCUGCUGUAGUCUCCCCUCCCCCAGCCUGAAACCUGCUUGCUCAGGGGUGGAGCUUCCUGCUCAUUCGUUCUGCCACGCCCACUGCUGGAACCUGAGGAACCACACACGUGCACCUUUCUACUGGACCAGAGAUUAUUCGGCGGGAAUCGGGUCCCCUCCCCCUUCCUUCAUAACUAGUGUCGCAACAAUAAAAUUUGAGCCUUGAUCAGAGUAACUGUCUUGGCUACAUUCUUUUCUCUCGCCACCUAGCCCCUCUUCUCUUCCAGGUUUCCAAAAUGCCUUUCCAGGCUAGAACCCAGCUUGUGGUCUGCUGGCCGGACACAACACCCUGCUCUCCCCCCCCCCUUCCCUGCCUCACGUCCCCGCUCCACUCUGAGACAGCCUUUGCUCCCCAGCCCUAAUAACCCUCUUGCAUUAGGUUUGUUACACAUUGUGAGCUAUGCAGCAUGUCUUGAUCUGGACCUGCCCCCGCCCCCAGGUAAAUUUCUCUCCUUAAUGCUAACACCCUCCUCUCUGACUGCUCUCCUGUCCUCCAUGUCUGCGGCUCAUGCUCAGUCUCCUGCUUUCUCCAUUAUCUGUAGCAUGACAUCAUUCUUCUUAAAGCAAUCCCCUCCUCUUUCUGUGCCAACAGCCAUACGUCCAUUUGCCCUUAGCUAUGAGACUGCAGAUAAUCAAAAGCUGUUAACCUAAAAAUCAUUUCAUUAGGG
rnacentral:lncRNA from 1 species